rnacentral:rRNA from 1 species
UGAGGGAAUACCGGCGAGAAAAUCGCCGACAACACCGCAUAGGCUGUGCUUCGCGCACAGCAAAGUCUUGAGGUGACUCAAGAUGCCUGGUGAUGAGCUCGCGCCCGAUUAUGCUGGUUGGUGGGGGUAAUGGCUCACCAAGGCGACCAUCGGUAGCUGGUCUGAGAGGAUGAUCAGCCACACUGGGAUUGAGAACGGCCCAG